rnacentral:tmRNA from 1 species
GGGGAUGUUUGGCUUUGAUGGGAGAAUUUGUUUUCAAGUAUGCAUAUCGAGGAAGUCGACAGCUCGUUAAACUUCGACAAAAACACAACUGCCAACAAUACUGGCGAAGCAGAAAGCGUAGUUUCUCCGUUUUUUGCUCCGGCUUACGCAUUAGCUUAAAGCCGGCGUCUGCGUCUAUCUAUCUCGGAAGAUAGAUAGCGGGUGUAAUAGUUAUCCGGGAUGAAAAGCGUUCAUCUGCUCAAGUGGCGCUUUUGACUUUUUUGAGCUCAGCUGAAAGUGAUUUUGCUCAUUUUUUAACUUUUAGCUUAAAAAAUAAAUGAGCUAAAUAUGUAGAAGUGCUUGAAGCCUUCUUCCGGACGCGGGUUCGAUUCCCGCCAUCUCCACAC